UACGGAGGAUCCAAUCGUUAUCCGGAAUCAUUGGGUUUAAAGGGUCCGUAGGCGGGUUCGUAAGUCAUUGGUGAAAGUCUGCAGCUCAACUGUAGAACUGCCAUUGAAACUGCAUACCUUGAGUAAUUAUGAAGUGGUUAGAAUAUGUAGUGUAGCGGUGAAAUGCAUAGAUAUUACAUAGAAUACCGAUUGCGAAGGCAGAUCACUAAUAAUUUACUGACGCUGAUGGACGAAAGCGUAGGUAGCGAACAGGAUUAGAUACCCUGGUAGUCUACGCCGUAAACGAUGGUUACUAGCUGUUCGGGCCGAUUAAGGUCUGAGUGGCUAAGCGAAAGUGAUAAGUAACCCACCUGGGGAGUACGUUCGCAAGAAUGAAACUCAAAGGAAUUGACGGGGGCCCGCACAAGCGGUGGAGCAUGUGGUUUAAUUCGAUGAUACGCGAAGAACCUUACCAGGUCUUAAAUGUAGCUUGA
rnacentral:rRNA from 1 species